GACGAACUGUCCUAACGUUGUUCGGAAUCACUGGGCUUAAAGGGCGCGUAGGCGGUCCGACAAGUCAGGGGUGAAAUCCUGCAGCUUAACUGUAGAAGUGCCUUUGAUACUGUCGGUCUGGAGGGAGAUAGGGGUGUGCGGAACUUCCAGUGGAGCGGUGAAAUGCGUUGAUAUUGGAAGGAACGCCGGAGGCGAAAGCGGCGCACUGGAUCUCUUCUGACGCUGAGGCGCGAAAGCUAGGGGAGCAAACGGG
rnacentral:misc_RNA from 1 species